rnacentral:rRNA from 1 species
AGAGUUUGAUCCUGGCUCAGGAUGAACGCUGGCGGCGUGCCUAAUACAUGCAAGUCGAGCGAACUGAUUAGAAGCUUGCUUCUAUGACGUUAGCGGCGGACGGGUGAGUAACACGUGGGCAACCUGCCUGUAAGACUGGGAUAACUUCGGGAAACCGAAGCUAAUACCGGAUAGGAUCUUCUCCUUCAUGGGAGAUGAUUGAAAGAUGGUUUCGGCUAUCACUUACAGAUGGGCCCGCGGUGCAUUAGCUAGUUGGUGAGGUAACGGCUCACCAAGGCAACGAUGCAUAGCCGACCUGAGAGGGUGAUCGGCCACACUGGGACUGAGACACGGCCCAGACUCCUACGGGAGGCAGCAGUAGGGAAUCUUCCGCAAUGGACGAAAGUCUGACGGAGCAACGCCGCGUGAGUGAUGAAGGCUUUCGGGUCGUAAAACUCUGUUGUUAGGGAAGAACAAGUACGAGAGUAACUGCUCGUACCUUGACGGUACCUAACCAGAAAGCCACGGCUAACUACGUGCCAGCAGCCGCGGUAAUAC